rnacentral:rRNA from 1 species
UACAGAGGGUGCGAGCGUUGUCCGGAUUUAUUGGGCGUAAAGAGCGUGUAGGCGGCCAGAUAGGUCUGUUGUGAAAACUCGAGGCUCAACCUCGAGACGCCGAUGGAAACCAUCUGGCUAGAGUCCGGAAGAGGAGAGUGGAAUUCCUGGUGUAGCGGUGAAAUGCGCAGAUAUCAGGAAGAACACCCGUGGCUAAGGCGGCUCUCUAGUACGGUACUGACGCUGAGACGCGAAAGCGUGGGGAGCGAACAGG